rnacentral:rRNA from 1 species
CAGAACUCCUACGGGAGGCAGCAGUGAGGAAUAUUGGUCAAUGGGCGAGAGCCUGAACCAGCCAAGUAGCGUGCAGGAUGACGGCCCUAUGGGUUGUAAACUGCUUUUAUAAGGGAAUAAAGUGGGUCACGUGUGACUUUUUGCAUGUACCUUAUGAAUAAGGACCGGCUAAUUCCGUGC